CGGUCUGUAGUUUAAUAGGUAAAACAUAGUUCUCAUGAAGCUACCAAUGUAGGUUCGAUUCCUGCCGGACCGA
rnacentral:tRNA from 1 species